rnacentral:sRNA from 1 species
GUUUGACAUGGGCGCCCGCAUACUGCUUAUAGGCUGAUUCCCACAGCUGCUUAAAAUUGAGACACCCAUGCUGCGGAUUGGUACUAUGAUAUGAUGGCUGCUUCGUUGACUUGCCGGCCAAUUAAAAAGAGAGCCACCAAAUUGAAGAUCAGAGCACACACAUAGCUCCCAAAUGUGUGAUAUGAUCGUAUCAUCGGAUUAUAUCACAUGCGUGGGCAAUGUGAGAUGAUGGAAUAGGAUCUGAUGUGAAUUGUAUGCACAUUAAUUUAAGCUGUCGACAUUCAUUAAACACACAUCGGUCGGGUCGGUAUGUUGGCGGGGAGUUGUGAGUGCCAUAAAUAAAAGUGCUGAUAGCAUUUACAAUUAAUAAAUUUGUUUAAUUAA